rnacentral:rRNA from 1 species
AGUGAACGCUGGCGGUAGGCCUAACACAUGCCAGUCGAACGGCAGCACAGUAAGAGCUUGCUCUUACGGGUGGCGAGUGGCGGACGGGUGAGGAAUACAUCGGAAUCUACUUUUUCGUGGGGGAUAACGUAGGGAAACUUACGCUAAUACCGCAUACGACCUACGGGUGAAAGCAGGGGAUCUUCGGACCUUGCGCGAUUGAAUGAGCCGAUGUCGGAUUAGCUAGUUGGCGGGGUAAAGGCCCACCAAGGCGACGAUCCGUAGCUGGUCUGAGAGGAUGAUCAGCCACACUGGAACUGAGACACGGUCCAGACUCCAACGGGAGGCAGCAGUGGGGAAUAUUGGACAAUGGGCGCAAGCCUGAUCCAGCCAUACCGCGUGGGUGAAGAAGGCCUUCGGGUUGUAAAGCCCUUUUGUUGGGAAAGAAAUCCAGCCGGCUAAUACCUGGUUGGGAUGACGGUACCCAAAGAAUAAGCACCGGCCAACUUCGU